rnacentral:rRNA from 1 species
CCCUUAGAUGUUCUGGGCCGCACGCGCGCUACACUGAUGCAUUCAACGAGUUUCGUCCUGGUCCGAGAGGAAUGGGUAACCUUUUGAAAGUGCAUCGUGAUAGGGAUAGACUAUUGCAAUUAUUGGUCUUCAACGAGGAAUUCCUAGUAGACGUAGUUCAUCAGACUGCAUCGAUUACGUCCCUGCCCUUUGUACACACCGCCCGUCGCUCCUACCGAUUGAAUGCUCAGGUGAGCCAUUCGGACUUUCAUCAUGCUGGUUUCCAGUUUUGAUGAAGGAAAGUCUUGCGAACCUUAUCAUUUAGAGGAAGGAGAAGUCGUAACA